rnacentral:rRNA from 1 species
GACGUAGGGCGCGAGCGUUGUUCGGAUUUAUUGGGCGUAAAGAGCUCGUAGGCGGCUUGUCGCGUCGACCGUGAAAACUUGGGGCUCAACCCCAAGCCUGCGGUCGAUACGGGCAGGCUCGAGUUCGGUAGGGGAGACUGGAAUUCCUGGUGUAGCGGUGAAAUGCGCAGAUAUCAGGAGGAACACCGAUGGCGAAGGCAGGUCUCUGGGCCGAUACUGACGCUGAGGAGCGAAAGCGUGGGGAGCGAACAGG